rnacentral:tRNA from 1 species
GCCCGGGUGGUGGAAUUGGUAGACACAGGAGACUUAAAAUCUCCCGUACUUAGUACGUGCCGGUUCAAGUCCGGCCCCGGGCACCA